AUGGGGGGAGGGGGGCUCCAGCACGCGCACCCCCAGAGGGGCCAGCGGGGCAGGGGGGCGCAGACGGCGUCCUCGGCUCCUUGGCACAGCCAUCUUGGAAAGCAGCAUGGAAAUUCCCCGAGAAAUAGGACGGCUCCGCCCAUCCCCCAGCUCCAGGUCUGGGCGCCCGUCCGGGGUGACCUGCGCCUCCGAGGCACCGGCAGCAGCCACACCGCCAUGGGCACCACAGCGCGCUCACAGCAGCCGAGGCUGGGGAUCGGCCCUGGUCCACGGGCAGGCGAACGGGUGAAGACCAUGUGGCGCAUACACACGACGGGUGCCACCCGGCUUAAAAACCACCAAACCCAUCCCGUGCGGCGGCACAGGUGGACAAAGCCACACAGAGGGGCUGGGUCCCAUGCCAUCUCACUGACGCCACAGGAGCAGUGGGGAGCAGGGGCGAGGGUCGGGGAGGUGCAGGUGCAAGGGCAAGGCCACCAGCGCAGGACGGCAGGUCCUGGAGACCUAGUACAGCGGCCGACCUACGCCGAGAUCCCGCGCCUGCGCAGUCGCCACACAAGGCCAGGACCCUGCGCCUGCGCUCAGAGCUCGCCAGAGAGAUGGCCAAGCACACAACACAGAAACCACACAAAGUCAGCACCACACACCUCAAACUUUUCACACGGAUGUACCGCAAAGGCCCACAGGGACACCCGCCCGGAGCGCCGGGGGCCGCCUCUCGCAGAGUCACGCGGGACUGCUGCACCUGCCGCGGCCUCGCCCCAGCCCCACGCUGGUGCACCUGCUGGUGCACCUGCGCGCUACGAGCCUAAGCUUGGGCUGCUCGGAGCCCAGUGCUGCUGUUUCCCUUGGAGGGGUCUUGUCUCCUCUCCAACCCAAGUGACACAGAAGCCUCGGGUCAACCGGAGCGUUCUAAGGACGGAGACGCUUUCUGCUGGGCUCGGAGGAAAGGAGCCAGCCGUGAGCCCGGCAGUACAGCGCGCGGGGCUGCAAUGGAGCCCGCCGUGA
rnacentral:lncRNA from 1 species